UACGUAGGGGGCAAGCGUUGUCCGGAUUUAUUGGGCGUAAAGAGCGUGUAGGCGGUUCGGUAGGUCCGUUGUGAAAACUCGAGGCUCAACCUCGAGACGCCGAUGGAAACCCUCGAACUAGAGUCCGGAAGAGGAGAAUGGAAUUCCUGGUGGUAGCGGUGAAAUGCGCAGAUAUCAAGGAAGAACACCCGUGGCUAAGGCGGUUCUCUAGUACGGUACUGACGCUGAGACGCGAAAGCGUGGGGAGCGAACAGG
rnacentral:rRNA from 1 species